GGGCUCGCUUGGACAGCACUUAUACUACAACUGGAAUGAUACAGAGAAUAGUAUGGCCCCUGUGCAAGGAGGACACGAAAAUUCGUAAAGCAUUCCAUGUUUUU